GUGCUCUUCUUGGACUUAACACUUCUGUUUCCUGCUACUGGAGAUCUUGGAUGAAAAAUCAGGUGUUUGGGCUAUGGAUUUCUUACCUAGCUCUCCAUUAGAGAAAAAGGAAGUUUUAUUGCAUGAAGCUGCUAAAAAAUACUAACAUUGGGAUUUCCUUCUGCCAGGACAUCAAGGAGUGGGAUAGAGCUUGUCCCUGAAAGGCCUGAGUAUGUCCGCUGACCAUCUGAGGUCUCUCCUCAAUUGUCUGAAGUUAGACACCAACAUAUGUGGCAGGGUCAGGACCCUGGGCAAGGCAGAUAAAUAUAAGAGGUUCAAAGAGAGAAAAUAUCUAUGGAGAAUAUCUGUUAAAGACCUCAAGAAUGCGCUACGUUUGCAGAAAUUCAGU